rnacentral:rRNA from 1 species
UCGGGAAUUUUGGGCAAUGGGCGAAAGCCUGACCCAGCAACGCCGCGUGAAGGAUGAAGUAUUUCGGUAUGUAAACUUCGAAAGAAUAGGAAGAAUAAAUGACGGUACUAUUUAUAAGGUCCGGCUAACUACGUGCCAGCAGCCGCGGUAAUACGUAGGGACCAAGCGUUGUUCGGAUUUACUGGGCGUAAAGGGCGCGUAGGCGGCAAUUCAAGUCAUCUGUGAAAUCUCCGGGCUUAACCUGGGAACUGCGUCUGAUACUGGAAGGCUUGAGUAUGGGAGAGGGAUGUAGAAUUCCAGGUGUAGCGGUGAAAUGCGUAGAUAUCUGGAGGAAUACCGAUGGCGAAGGCAGCCCCCUGGGCUAACACUGACGCUCAUGCACGAAAGCGUGGGGAGCAAACAGGAUUAGAUACCCUAGUAGUCCCUGAGCGGGCUGGCAAGGCGCAU